AACGAACGCUGGCGGCAUGCCUAACACAUGCAAGUCGAACGAGACCUUCGGGUCUAGUGGCGCACGGGUGCGUAACGCGUGGGAACCUGCCCUUAGGUUCGGAAUAACUCCCCGAAAGGGGUGCUAAUACCGGAUAAUGUCUUCGGACCAAAGAUUUAUCGCCUUUGGAUGGGCCCGCGUUGGAUUAGCUAGUUGGUAGGGUAAAAGCCUACCAAGGCGACGAUCCAUAGCUGGUCUGAGAGGAUGAUCAGCCACACUGGGACUGAGACACGGCCCAGACUCCUACGGGAGGCAGCAGUGGGGAAUAUUGGACAAUGGGCGAAAGCCUGAUCCAGUAAUGCCGCGUGAGUGAUGAAGGCCUUAGGGUUGUAAAGCUCUUUUACCCGGGAUGAUAAUGACAGUACCGGGAGAAUAAGCUCCGGCUAACUCCGUA
rnacentral:rRNA from 1 species